CUCCCUUAUUGCCACUACAAACCAAAGAGAGUAACCUUUGAACUUUCUUCAUCUCAAAAUCUCUUUAAGCCUCUGUUUAAUAUCUCUGUGUCAAAAAAGAGUUAUGGGAGGCAACAACAGGCAGAAAACACCCUCCUCCUCCUCAUUCUUCAGCUUGUUCAAGUCGAGGAGGCCUCGCAGGGGAGGUGACAAGUUAGCCAUAUCCGCCCUUGUGGUGGAGGAUUCGUAUACGAGUGUAGGAAGGGUGUGGCAUAGUGUGGAGGACAGAGGUCGGUGGGUAGCUGAGCCCGGCAUUGACGACAAAGCUGCUGCUUUCAUUGACAGAAUACACAAGAAGAUUGCGUCAGAAUCUGAUGUCCAACCUCAACUGUCUGUAAACCCAACUGGAAAUGCCUGAGCUGCGUUAGUGUAUUAUAAUGUUAUUUUAUUCAAAAAAGUUGUAUCUAGUUUGUGAAUCACUAUAAUAAAUGUAUUAAGUAUUUGUCUGUUCAUUAAAGCUCUCAUAAGUACAGAUUAUGCCUACCAUUGUCGGACGUACACUACCAUUAUGCUCUCAUAAGUAACACUAGUGUAAGUCCGACAACGAUAAUUAGUAACUUAAUGUACAAUAAUCUGUUAUCAAUGAUUAUAAAAUCUCCAAAUCUUCCCCAUUUCUGCAAUCAAUAUCGUGGUUUUAAGAAAUUCAGGUUGCCUUGCCUUUUGAUAUGCAAUCUGCAACUUGGUUUUUGAGCUUGUUAAAUAAACUAAGGUUAAUAGUUAAAUUUUGUUUGGAUGUGCAAGUAUAUUAUAAUUUUUAAAGAGCACAGAGUCCUUUAGAUUUGUGACCCUCAACAUUCCCUUCACAUAAUAUUCUCUCAGGUAGUUUCAGAACAAUUGUACAACAAAGUUUGAUGUCCCCUUGAGCUCUUUUUGUACAGAGGAGGCCUACUUUUGGCUUGAAAAACGAUUCGAUACAACGGCGUGUACAAGAUAUUUUUCUAAAG
rnacentral:lncRNA from 1 species